AUUGAACGCUGGCGGCAUGCCUUACACAUGCGAGUCGAACGGCAGCACGGGUGCUUGCACCUGGUGGCGAGUGGCGAACGGGUGAGUAAUACAUCGGAACAAGUCCUGUAGUGGGGGAUAGCCCGGCGAAAGCCGGAUUAAUACCGCAUACGAUCUACGGAUGAAAGCGGGGGACCUUCGGGCCUCGCGCUAUAGGGUUGGCCGAUGGCUGAUUAGCUAGUUGGUGGGGUAAAGGCCUACCAAGGCGACGAUCAGUAGCUGGUCUGAGAGGACGACCAGCCACACUGGGACUGAGACACGGCCCAGGCUCCUACGGGAGGCAGCAGUGGGGAAUUUUGGACAAUGGGCGAAAGCCUGAUCCAGCAAUGCCGCGUGUGUGAAGAAGGCCUUCGGGUUGUAAAGCACUUUUGUCCGGAAAGAAAUCCUUGGCCCUAAGACGGUCGGGGGAUGACGGUACCGGAAGAAUAAGCACCGGCUAACUACGU
rnacentral:rRNA from 1 species